AUUGAACGCUGGCGGCAGGCUUAACACAUGCAAGUCGAGCGGAGUGAUGGUGCUUGCACUAUCACUUAGCGGCGGACGGGUGAGUAAUGCUUAGGAAUCUGCCUAUUAGUGGGGGACAACAUCUCGAAAGGGAUGCUAAUACCGCAUACGUCCUACGGGAGAAAGCAGGGGAUCACUUGUGACCUUGCGCUAAUAGAUGAGCCUAAGUCGGAUUAGCUAGUUGGUGGGGUAAAGGCCUACCAAGGCGACGAUCUGUAGCGGGUCUGAGAGGAUGAUCCGCCACACUGGGACUGAGACACGGCCCAGAUUCCUACGGGAGGCAGCAGUGGGGAAGAUUGGACAAUGGGGGGAACCCUGAUCCAGCCAUGCCGCGUGUGUGAAGGAGGCCUUAUGGUUGUAAAGCACUUUAAGCGAGGAGGAGGCUCUUUUGGUUAAUACCCAGGAUGAGUGGACGUUACUCGCAGAAUAAGCACCGGCUAACUCUGUGCCAGCAGCCGCCGUAA
rnacentral:rRNA from 1 species